GGCAGUUCUUGGGUGAUGCAUCCUGUAAUUGAGCUCCCUCCUCUCUGAGUCUGGGUGUGUCACCCAAGAACCACA
rfam:Myotis lucifugus cont2.38225, whole genome shotgun sequence.